UAUAUAUACACACACACACACACACACACACACACACACACACACACACACACACACACACACACACACACACACACACACACACACACACACACACACACACACACACACACACACACACACACACACACACACACACACACACACACACACACACACACACACACACACACACACACACACAGACACACACACACACACACACACACAGACACACACACACACACACACACACACAGACACACACACACACACACACACACACACACACACACACACACACACACACACACACACACACACACACACACACACACACACACACACACACAAACACACAUGAAGUAAUGAGUAUAUGUUGCUCUUAAUCAUACUUAUGCAAUAACAUUUUCCCUUUAUAAUUCGUUUCCUUCCUUUCCUACAAGUAGUGCUGCUUCAUGCACGGAGGAGCAGCACAGCACUAUUCCAAGGAAGGUGCUGCUUCACAAGCACUGUCCCGGUUGCCUCCUUCUCAGCUCUCCCCUGCCUCUCUCUGCCGGCCCGUCGCGGCCACCCUCGCCCGACGCAAGGCCCAGACUUAGGGAAACGGGCCAACGCCCUCCAUUACCACCACUGACUGAGGGACUCGCCAGACGCACCCAGGCUUCUGCUCACCCCGAAACCAGACCUCAUUGGCUGGUCAGAGAACGACCCCAGGAGCUAAGAAGGAGAGAGAGGCCUUCCAGCAGAGUAAGACCCGAGCAGGCCAGACCACCAUCACUCCGAGUAUCACAAGACCUUCCUCAAUCAAGAUCAAGGUCAGGCUCCGUGGCUCUAGAAGAAUGACACUGUUCGGCGCAAGUGUUCAUCUCCACGGCCUGAGAUGAGACUAAGCCUGCGGUGGGUGGAGGAGGAGCAGCCGCGGCCCCGUACUCUGUGGUGUGUGUCUGGCAGGCGGGAAGAACGGUGGGCGAAACUCUGCGGAGAUCCAUCGAACACAACCACGCAGGUGACCCUCAUCAAUCAACACUCCCUUCCAGUUCACAUCUCCACCAAAAUUACACUAUAAAUAUAACAUUUGCCAAAUCAAUGCCUCAAUAAUGUAAGUUUAAUGCAGUUAUGCAGCAACA